AGCGAACGCUGGCGGCAGGCUUAACACAUGCGAGUCGAGCGGGCACUUCGGUGUCAGCGGCAGACGGGUGGGUAACACGUGGGAACGUACCCUUUGGUUCGGAAUAACGCUGGGAAACUAGCGCUAAUACCGGAUACGCCCUUUUGGGGAAAGGCUUGCUGCCGAAGGAUCGGCCCGCGUCUGAUUAGCUAGUUGGUGGGGUAAUGGCCUACCAAGGCGACGAUCAGUAGCUGGUCUGAGAGGAUGAUCAGCCACACUGGGACUGAGACACGGCCCAGACUCCUACGGGAGGCAGCAGUGGGGAAUAUUGGACAAUGGGCGCAAGCCUGAUCCAGCCAUGCCGCGUGAGUGAUGAAGGCCUUAGGGUUGUAAAGCUCUUUUGUCCGGGACGAUAAUGACGGUACCGGAAGAAUAAGCCCCGGCUAACUUCGUG
rnacentral:rRNA from 1 species